rnacentral:rRNA from 1 species
UCGGACAUAGUGGCGCACGGGUGCGUAACACGUAUGCAACCUACCUUACAUUGGGGGAUAGCCUUUCGAAAGGGAGAUUAAUACCGCAUAAGACAGUAACUAGGCAUAUAGUAGCUGUUAAAGAUUUAUCGAUGUAAGCUGGGCAUGCGUCCAAUUAGCUAGUUGGUGAGGUAACGGCUCACCAAGGCAAUGAUUGGUAGGGGAACUGAGAGGUCAAUCCCCCACACUGGCACUGAGAUACGGGCCAGACUCCUACGGGAGGCAGCAGUAGGGAAUAUUGGGCAAUGGACGCAAGUCUGACCCAGCCAUGCCGCGUGCAGGAUGAAGGCGUUAUGCGUUGUAAACUGCUUUUAUACAGGAAGAAACGACUCUUGCGAGAGGCAUUGACGGUACUGUAUGAAUAAGCACCGGCUAACUCCGUG